rnacentral:rRNA from 1 species
GACGAACGCUGGCGGCGUGCUUAACACAUGCAAGUCGAGCGGUAAGGCCCUUUCGGGGGUACACGAGCGGCAAACGGGUAGAGUAACACGUGGGUGACCUGCCCUCAGCUCUGGGAUAAGCCUGGGAAACCGGGUCUAAUACCGGAUAUGACUCCAUGACGCAUGUUGUGGGGUGGAAAGCCUUGUGCGGCUGAGGAUGGGCCCGCGGCCUAUCAGCUUGUUGGUGGGGUGAUGGCCUACCAAGGCGACGACGGGUAGCCGGCCUGAGAGGGCGACCGGCCGACACUGGGACUGAGACACGGCCCAGACUCCUACGGGAGGCAGCAGUGGGGAAUCUUGCGCAAUGGGCGAAAGCCUGACGCAGCGACGCCGCGUGUGUGAAGAAGGCCUGCGGGUU